CGAAGCUCACUUAGUUUAGUAUGUAAUACGGAUACUAGGACAUUAUCAUAGGCUGCAUUUAUAUCUAAGAAAACAGCUGCUGUAGACUGGUUAUUAGAAAAAGAUAAACGGAUAUCAGUUGUUAAAAUACUUAAGCAGUCCAUAGUACUUUUACCUUUUCUAAAACCAUAUUGUGAAGAGGAUAGAAGGCCUUCACUUUCGAUGUACCAUUCUAGACGAUUUUUAAUUAGAUUUUCAGCUAAUUUGAUUAAUACUGAGGACAGUACUAUUGGGCGGUACGAGGAAAUAUCAGAAGGCGCUUUGUUUGGUUUUAAGAAUGGUAACACCAUUUGACGUUUCCAUUCUUCAGGGAUGUUUCCUGUUGUCAUUACGGUAUUAAUCAACUCCAAAUAGUAACUAAGAAUAUUAUCACUCAGAUGUACGAAAAAUGAGUAUGGAAUGCCAUCUAGACCAGGAGCGGAAUCUACAGUAUUUUGCACAAUCCCCUUUAAUUCACUUAGGGAGAACGGGAGGUGUAAUGUAUUAGUUGUAGACUGUUUCGAACUAUCGGCAUUUGUUCCGCACGGUGCACAACAAAUGUUCUGAGGAACCCAUGGUGGAGCCAAAUGGUCCAGGAAGUCAGAGGCUAAAGAAUCAGGAAUAGCAGGCGUCGGCUGUGUAAAAACGGACCUGAAUUUACGAAUAUUUUGCCAAACUAUAGUAGGGUUUGAUCGUCUCUUUGAAAUAGUUGGCAUAGAGAAUGGGCUGGAAAUAACUAUUGGGAAAUGGUCACUGCCAUAUGUAGAAGAAAGGGUAUUCCAGGUUAGUGAAGAAGCUAGAUUAGGAGAACAAAUGGAUAGAUCCACAGCACUGUUAUUCUGAUUAGGGGCUGACCGCCGAGUGGCGAUACCUGUAUUUAAUAUGCAUAGAUUAUGUUGGUCUAUUAUGUCAAGUAAGUCCUGCCCAUAGUUGCUUGAAAUUGAGCAGCCCCAACAUUGGUGGUGGCAAUUUAAAUCUCCCAUUAUAAUUAAAGGUCUUGGAAGAAUAGAGAAGAGAUGGUUGAUCUCAAGAAGUAAAGAAGAAGAAGGGUGAGGAACAUAAAUAGAGACAAGGCAAAGAUUGUAUACUUUAAUAGCAACAAUUGAAAUGUCCUCACUAUGUGGUGGGAAGGAAAUGAUAGAAAAGGGGAUAGAAUUCUUGAUAAGUAUGGCUACUCCACCAUACCCAUCAAGUCUAUCAUCUCUAAUAAUUAAAUAAUUUUUAAUUUUAAAAACAUUAUGUGGCUUCAGCCAAGUUUCUGCUAAAGCAAAAACUGAAGGCUUAUAUCUAUUAAGUAAAUAAAUUAUGUCACUUUUUUUGCUCAAUAGGCUGCGACAAUUCCACUGUAUUAUGCAGUCCAUGAUUGGUGGGAAGGGUAAAAGUAUUAAGAAAAGAGGCAGCGUUGGACGGUGAAAUAUUAAAUUGAGAGAGGAGUUGUAAGAAAGCUGUAAUGAAAUCAUUUAUAGACAUGUUA